rnacentral:lncRNA from 1 species
GACUUUUGGUAUAGCAUUGGAAAUGUAAAUGAGCUAAAUACCUAAUAAAAAAUGGGAAAAAAAAUUUUUUUCUUAAAGAAGGUUACAGGACUUCACUCAGUGUUCUAAUUGGUGUUUAGAGCCCUGCAGACACUUGUAAGCAGGUGUGUUCUUUUGAAAAGGAAACCAGUCAUGGAUGAUCUUAGUUUUUUUUUAGCUGAUCUCUCAAAGGAUGAGCUGUGGCCAGAUGGAGAUAAGAGAAAUCACGUCAGGUGGUGGGAAGCUAAUAACCCUUAGCUGUCUUUGAGGAAGCUUCAGUGGCACCCAAGAGAUGGGACUCUGAAGUGGUGAGACAUUCAGAAGCAGAAAGCUGGAUAGUUUUGGAUUCACCAUUUCCAAAAGUUCCAGCUGCUGUGCUUCUCGGACAGAUUUGGUUUUGACUAAGAUCCCAUGGCACAUUGGAAGUAAGUUUAGGGGUUUAGUAAUUUGUCAUACCCUGGUAUGAAGUUUCAAUAUAUUUUAACAAAAUACUUUGGAAAUGAAAUAUGAGUAUUGCUAUAAAGGAGGAAUUUGGAGAAUGGUUAAGGAUAAAAAAAUGCUUUUUUUCUUUCUUUGUUUAGUUUGUUUUGUUUUGUUUUUGUUUGGGUUUUUAUUUUUUAUUUUUUGGGUUUUUUUUUUUUUUUGGUUUUUUUUGAGACAGGGUUUCUCUGUAUAACCCUGGCUGUCCUGGAACUCACUCUGUAGACCAGGCUGGCCUCGAACUCAGAAAUCCGCCUGCCUCUGCCUCCCAAGUGCUAGGAUUAAAGGCGUGUACCACCACACCCGGCUCUUUGUUUAGUUUUGAGAUUGUUUUUUUAAAGUUUUUUUUUUUAUAAUUUAUUUUUAUUUUGUGUGCAUUGAUGUUUUGCCUACAUGACCUCUGUGAGGGUGUGGGAUCUCCUAGAACCGUAGUUACAGACAACUGGGAGCUGCCAUGUAGGUGCUGGGAAUUGAACCCAGGUCCUCUGAGAAAGUAGCUGAUGCUCUUAAACACUGAGUCAUCGUCUCUCUACUCCCCAAGAUUGAACUUUCCCCCUUUCCUUUCCUCCCUCCAACCCUCUCUGCUCUCCUUCAAAAUCAUGGCAUCUUUUCUUUUCUUGAGUUGUUAUUAAAUGCAUACAUGUAUUUAUAUAAAUAUGUAUUUCAAAAUAGAACCUAUUGAGUCCAUAUAAUGUUACUUGGACGUAUGCUUUCAGGGCUGAUCAUUUGUCGCUGGACAGCCAGUGGUGUAUUCUUCCUUGGAGAAGGCACCUCUCCCAGAUUUCCUCAGAUGCCUGGAAUACUUUAUGUAGGGAAGAGUAAUACUAAAAAAUUCUUUUUAUGAUUUUUUUUAAAAGAUUUAUUUAUUUAUUAUAUGUUAGUACACUGUAGCUGUCUUCAGACACACCAGAAGAGGGCGUCAGAUCUUGUUGCUGGGACUUGAACUCCGGACCUUUGGAAGAGCAGUCGGGUGCUCUUACCCACUGAGCCAUCUCACCAGCCCUCUUUAUGAUUUUGCACUAAGUAAAACUAACCACUGAGAAGGCAGCCAGUACCUGUUCCCUAAGCAUGCUUCAGAUUAUGCAAGGCCUUCUUUCUAACACGUAUAAUGUUGCUUACAGAGAAUCUAGGCUCGCUCUCCGUGUACCUCUAAAACAAGGAGCUCUUUGAGUCUCAAGAUUUGAUGUCACUGGCUUCUUUGCACUUUAAAAAAAUGUUUGAUUAUGUAACAAAGACAGAUAUCUUUGUUAGAAGUGAAAUCUAAAGAGUGUGAAUGUUCACUAAGAAAUACCAAUAAUUCCACGACAUGUUAACAUAAAUACUAUUUUUUAGGAAUGAUACUUUUCAAAAUAAGGUUGAAUGAGCAGUAUUGCUUUACAUUGUUAUAAGUGUCUUUACUGAUUGCCUCAGUAGAAAAGAGCUGUCGUCUUUCUGUCCCUGUCUCCGUCUCUCUUUUCUCUUUUUGUCUUUUUGAGACAGGGUUUCUCUCAGGAUUCUCAGUCCUGGUGUCAUGGAACUCACUCUGUAGUUAGAGGCUGGCCUCUAACUCACAUAAUCUGCCUGCCUCUGCAUCGUAGAAACCUCUGGCAUUAAGGGUGUGCUCCAAUGCUGCCUAGCAAGAUUGCCUAUAUUCUUGUAUGUGCAGAAGCAGAUACAAGAUAAUAUCACUUGCCCUGUAACACUCUGAAAACCAGUGUUCGACUGCAGCAUCCAGCGUGGCUCCAGGCAUUAGCCUGCAGCCUGACUAAGCAGCAAGGGAAUAAAGAAAAGACAAACGCACAGGCACAUGACACAGGACAACUCAGAUUGGGUGGUCCAGGGUCUGCUAUUCGUAGGAUUUGUCCUUAGGACAAAGAAGAACCACUGUUAGAUUUUCAGUCGAGAAGUGAAUAGUCAGUGUUGUAUUUUAGAUCAGUUACUUGACUUGUAAGACAGGCAGAAAUGGAUAUAAACCAGCUAUUAUCAAAGUGACAUUUAUCAUAUGACUAAAUAAGUCAAUGCUUCUACAGCUGAUGAUAAACUGGGAAUUAGACUUUGAGAAUAAGUGAAUUAUUAUUCAUUUUUAAACUAGAGGAAUUGUGGUGAAAUAGUUUUUCUUAAAACUUCUUUCAGCUGCAGAAAUGGGCAAAUUAGCAUUAAUACUACAUGACUGGUUUAGGCAAUUGCAUUAAGCACUUGAGAUGAAUCCAGUGCAGGUUCCCAGAAGAAUGCUUACAGCUGUGUAGAAUUCACAUCUGAUGUUAGAAUUUGGGUUGGGGGUGAGGGGAACACUCACCCUUGUGUGCAUAAUGAAAAGGACUUAAGAUUGAAAAAGG